CAAAUAAAAUCCAACUGGGAAUGGGAAUCUUGUCCCACACUGAAUAAAAUCCAGCUGGGAAUUGGGCUCUCAUCCCUUCCUAUCACAAAAAAAUCCAACUGGGAACUGGGACUUUGUCCCACACAGAAUAAACUCCAGCUGGGAAUUGGGAUCUCAUCCCUCACUGAAUAAAAUCCAGCUGGGAAUUGGGAUCUCAUCCCUUCCUAUCCAAAUAAAAUCCAGCUGGGAAUUGAGACCUCCUCCCUCCCUCACUGAAUAAAAUCCAGCUGGGAAUGGGGCUCUGGUCCCUCCCUCACUCCUUGCUGCAGAAAGAGCUUUAAAAGGAACAUUUUGGGGAUGGGGAUGAAAUUCUGAACAAUCCCCCAGGGCAGCUGCUCUGUGUCUCAGCUUCCCGAGCUGUUUUCAGGGGAUGAUGAGAAAAACGGAUGGAAGAGGUCACGGGUGCUUUUUGUGGAGAAGAAAAGGAGAGUGGCCCAGCUAUGAGAAACAACCUCAGGAAGAAGAUGCAGCUGAAUUAAUCUCAUUUCUUUGCAAACCCUCUGCAUUUGAUGACCUCAAAGGUCUUUUCCAGCCUAAACAACCCCAGAAUUUUGUGACUUUAGGUCUUCAAAUUGGAUCCAGCUGGGAGCUUUUUGUUUCCUGGCUGAACCCCAGGUGGUUUCCAUGUGGGCAGAGGACAUCCCUGUGGAUGGGGGCUCCUGCAGAAAUCCUUUUGGGGUUUUCAUUCUAAAUCCCUUUGGAAAAAUCCUUUGCAAUGCUGACCUCUGCAGGCUGAGGGACUGCUGAAAACCCCGGGCAGCAAUAACCUAAAUAAUGCAUGAACCAGGUGUUUUACUGCUGCUGGCUGUGGGUAGGAAAAGCCUAUCAUAAAAUAAAAAAAAACCUUAUAAAUAAUGCAUUAAAAUGGGGCAUUUCUCUCUCAGCUGGCAGACAGAGAGCAUUUAUGGGGAGGGAAAUCCUUGUUUGGUGGAUCUGCAAACCCCUGGAUGGAUUCUGUGAAUAAUUUGCUGCUUGGACAAAGCCCUGCAAACCAGGGGGUGAAGGAUCUGGAUGAAAAACAGGAAUUUCACACCAAAAAAAAUCACAAAUUGGGAGAUAAAGAGCUGAGCUUCCUUGGACCUCAGGCCUGGUCCUGGACCCUCAUGGCCAUGUCACUCCCUCAGCCCCAGGGUCCCCUUUGGCCAUGGAGCCACCUCAAGCCUGGCCGUGUCACCCCCUCAGCCCUGGAGCCAUCUUAGGCCUGGUCCUUCAGCCCUCAUGGCCGUGUCACCCCCUCAGCCCUGGAGCCAUCUUAGGCCUGGUCCUUCAGCCCUCAUGGCCAUGUCACUCCCUCGGCCCCAGGGUCCCCUUUGGCCCUGGAGCCCCCAUGGCCGUGUCACCCCCUCAGUCCUGGAGCCACCUCAGGCCUGGCCCUGAACCAUCAUGGCCGUGUCACCCCCUCAGUCCUGGAGCCACCUCAGGCCUGGCCCUGAACCAUCAUGGCCGUGUCACCCCCUCGGCCCUGGAGCCACCUCAGGCCUGGCCCUGAACCAUCAUGGCCGUGUCACCCCCUUGGCCACAAUCCCAGCCCCAGAGCCCCCCUCAGUCCUGGAGCCCCUUCAGCCAUAACCUCAACCCUGAUGUUCCCCUAAACUCCUUCAAAUCCAAAGCCAUGGGGUCCCCUCAGCUCCAAGGCCCCUCAGCCAUGGGCUCCUCUCCCAAAUCCCUCACCCCAAAGCCCCUCAGAGCCAUUCCCUGUGGAUAAUGGGGACACAAAGGGCGUGAACAAAAGAGUCAGGGGCAGAUUUUAGGAGAGGAUUUUAAUGUGCCCCACACCACCCAUGGGUGCUGGGAGUGGGGGAUCGCUGUGGGGUGUGAGAGGGGUGGGGGAGCCUCCCCUUCCAGCCGGGCUCCAGGACCACCCAGAGACCCCAAA